rnacentral:rRNA from 1 species
UACGUAGGGUCCAAGCGUUAUCCGGAAUCACUGGGCGUAAAGCGUGCGUAGGUGGAUUGUUAAGUGCGGUGCGAAAUCCUGUGGCUCAACCAUAUGGACUGUAUCGCAUACUGGCAAUCUAGAGGACAUGAGAGGCAAGUGGAAUUACUGGUGUAGCAGUGAAAUGCGUAGAGAUGUGGAGGAACACCGAUGGCGAAGGCAGCCCCCUGGGCUAACACUGACGCUCAGGCACGAAAGCGUGGGGAGCAAACAGG